rnacentral:RNase_P_RNA from 1 species
UAGGUAAACCAGACAAUAGCUUGAGUAAAAUCAAGAGGAAAGUCCGGGCUGCUGUGAAGUAUGGUUCCAUUUAAAUAAUGGCUGGGGUAACCUAAGGGAUAGUGCAACAGAGAAUAGACAGCCGAUUUUUUCGGUGAUGGUGAAACGGUGGGGUAAGAGCCUACCAGACUUUUGAGUAAUCUUAAGUGCUUUGUAAACCCAACCUGCAGCAAGAAGACUAGGUAUUUACUUCACAUUUUUGGUCUUCGCAAGACUACUAAAGUAAUUUAGUAGCUAGAUAAAUUAUUGUCUUAAAAACAAAACGCGGCUUAUUGGUUUACCUACAAA